rnacentral:rRNA from 1 species
AUGGCUGUUUCUAAAUCCAAAGGAGGCUUGGGUUUCCGGGAUUUGGAGCUGUUCAAUGAUGCAAUGCUCGCAAAACAGGUGUGGCGGCUGCUGGACAAGCCAGAUAGCCUAUGCGCGCGUGUUCUUAAGGGUAGGUACUACCCAGAUGGAGAUUUCUUGCAGGCAGGUUGCCCUGCCAGCGCCUCCACUACGUGGAAGGCGAUAAUCACUGGUAGGGAGGUGCUCAAGAAAGGUUUGAUCCGGAGAAUUGGCGAUGGAACUACUACGGAAGUAUGGCACGACAAUUGGAUACAAGGAAGCAGAACUUUCAAACCAGUAUGUAACAUGGGAGGUGUUCCCAUACACCUCGUAUCUGACUUGAUGUAG